GACUAUGCGUCUGCAGCGAAGAUAGCCAUUGUGCCCCUGAACAGAACUUCUUUUGCAGGCCCGGAGUGUUCUUCAAAGCCGCCAGAGUCUGCCGAACAAGCUCGUAAGUGACAGCAGCGAUAGAAAUAAAACGAGCAUGAAUGGAAAACAAUGCAGAAUGAAAAGAGCGUCAUACCAGCUUUGUAGAUCGACACAAGGCGUUCAACAGUGUAACGAACUUCCGGAAGCAAAUCUUCGUUUCUGCCACCAAUGCCUAUAACAGCUCAAAUGUGAUUUACAUACCCAGCCGCGCGAGAACAGUCUACCUGGAUCGCGGUAAGAUCAAUGAAAAAAUGUAAUAGGCAAAAGAACAGCAGAUAGAAUGAAAAGAAGGAAGACCACGCUCGGCCGACGUCGAAGCGCUAAUGGCCUUCCCAUUUCAAUCUUGGAUGGAUUCAUACCUCUCGCGGAAGCUCCUAAAUGGAAAGAGA
rnacentral:lncRNA from 1 species